CAGAAGGCAAGGAACAGACGAGCCCAGUGUGGGAUUUGGAUUCUGUGCUAUUUCUAUUCCAAGGAGGUAACCAAUCCCAUAGAAGAGGAAAUAGCAGUGCCCUUGUGACUUACCAUCUCAGAAUUUGAACUGUUUCCUGAGAUUUAGCAGCUGUUUGAGCCCUGUUGGAACUGGGUUCAGAUUUCUCUAUAUCUGGUGAUUUCAUGAUCUAACAAAUAGCAGAAUUAGGGAUUCAGAAUUUAUUUGUGAUCUUUAAACUUCAACCUGAAUCUGAAAGGACAGGCAUAUGGGGAAGUCAUGAUAUUAUUUGGGAGUGACAGUGGUAUAUCAGUCAGCUCCCACUGGGUUAAUAUGCAGUAACAAGCAAUUGAAGAGGCUUGGACCAAAGAUGGCUUGUUUCUCAUUUGCAUUAUGUUUGUGGCUGUGGCUCUGCUGCCUGUGACCACUCAUCUAGGACCCAAAUUGAAAGGGAAGUGCCAGGGACAACUGUGCUCCUAGACAGAAAUGGCAAGACAGCCAAGAGAAACAUGAAAUGGCAUUUGUAGCCCAGAACUAGCCUAGUCACUUCUACCCAUACUUUCUCUGCCACACUGCAUUGUAUGGCCAGGUCUGACCACCGGUGGAGAAGGUGUGCUGUGUCCUCUUCUAGGUACUACGAGUCUCGUGGAUGCUAGAGAUUACCCAUUCACUUACAGGAAGAGGGUCAUGCAGCCCUGGGACCCGAAGGCCUGGCAUCGCAGGGCUUCUGAGACACUGAAGACACUUUGUUUCCACUUGGGGGAUGCUUCUGGAUGAGAGUGGAACCCUUGAAGUGACAAAGAAACCCCAACACAGUUCUUUAAAAAAAAAAAAAGUUUUUUGUUACAUUUAAUGUGUG
rnacentral:lncRNA from 1 species